AACUUUUAGCAAUGGAUCUCUUGGCUCUCCCAUCGAUGAAGAACGCAGCGAAAUGCGAUACGUAAUGUGAAUUGCAGAAUUGAGUGAAUCAUCGAAUCUUUGAACGCACCUUGCACUCUUUGGUAUUCCGAAGAGUAGGUCUGUUUGAGUGUCAUGAAACUCUCAACCCCCUUGUUUUGUAAUGAAACGAGUGUGGGCUUGGAUUAUGGCUGCUGCCGUCGUAAUUGUCGACUCGGCUGAAAUACACGAGCUACCCAUUUCUAAGAAAUAGACGGUUUGACUCGGCGUAAUAACAUAUUUCGCUGAGGACGUCACAUUCUUUAAACAUUAGUGGUGCUUCUAAUGCGACAUCUAAACCUAAGCUUUAGACCUCAAAUCAGUCAGGACUACCCGCUGAACUUAAGCAUAUCAAUAAGCGGAGGCU
rnacentral:misc_RNA from 1 species